rnacentral:rRNA from 1 species
UCAGCUAAGUGGCGCACGGGUGAGUAAUAUAUAGUUAAUCUGCCCUGAAGAAGAGAAUAAUUGUUGGAAACGACUUGUAAUGCUCUAUAUGCCUUUAUCACAUAAGUGAGCAAGGGAAAUAUUUAUAGCUUCGGGAUGAGACUGUACGGUAUCAGAUAGUUGGUGAGGUAAUGGCUCACCAAGUCAAUGACACCUAACUGGUUUGAGAGGAUGAUCAGUCACACUGGAACUGAGACACGGUCCAGACUCC